rnacentral:rRNA from 1 species
UACGGAGGGGGCUAGCGUUGUUCGGAAUUACUGGGCGUAAAGCGCGCGUAGGCGGCCUCAUAAGUCCGUUGUGAAAGUCAAAGGCUCAACCUUUGAAAGCCGAUGGAUACUGUGAGGCUAGAGUCCGGAAGAGGCGAGUGGAAUUCCUGGUGUAGCGGUGGAAUGCGCAGAUAUCAGGAGGAACACCAAUAGCGAAGGCAGCUCGCUGGGACGGUACUGACGCUAAGGCGCGAAAGCGUGGGGAGCGAACAGG